GCGGCCAUAGCUUAGCUGGUCCAAAGCGCUUCCCUGUCACGGAAGAGAUCAGGGGUUCGAAUCCCCUUGGCCGCGCCA
rnacentral:tRNA from 1 species